GACGAACGCUGGCGGCGUGCUUAACACAUGCAAGUCGAGCGGUAAGGCCCUUUCGGGGGUACACGAGCGGCGAACGGGUGAGUAACACGUGGGUGACCUGCCCUUAGCUCUGGGAUAAGCCUGGGAAACUGGGUCUAAUACCGGAUAUGACUCCAUGACGCAUGUUGUGGGGUGGAAAGCCUUGUGCGGCUAGGGAUGGGCCCGCGGCCUAUCAGCUUGUUGGGUGGGGUGAUGGCCUACCAAGGCGACGACGGGUAGCCGGCCUGAGAGGGCGACCGGCCACACUGGGACUGAGACACGGCCCAGACUCCUACGGGAGGCAGCAGUGGGGAAUCUUGCGCAAUGGGCGAAAGCCUGACGCAGCGACGCCGCGUGGGGA
rnacentral:rRNA from 1 species